GUAUUAUGAGUGCAACUGGUUGUUGAUAAAGUAUGGAUGAAGGUUCUUGAUAGCCCCAAAUCCUAGCCCCAUUCCUCCGGCUUGAUCCCGAGCUCUCUCCGCCCCCCUUCCUCCUGCACGAGCCGCAAAUCGGCGUCCUUCCCCAAAUCUCCGACCACCGCGACCUCUCUCCACCACGAUCGAGGUCCGUCUGCCCCCUUCCUCAGCCCCCUUCCUCAACCGUGGAUCAUGGAGUCAUCUUCAAGCAAUCGUCAUGGACUGUUUUGCCAUUGUAGAAGGAGGUCUAUACUCUCUAGAUCUGGAACUAAGAUGAACCCUGGUCGAUUAUUUUUUGGAUGCGCUAAUUGGAAAGUAAGUAAUUAUGGAUUCUUCAAAUGGGUAUCUGAUGAAGAGGAGUUUGAAGGUUCAAAGGCAUAGCUUGUUCAGAUGAAGCAGUGGAGCGUGACGCCGCAAGUUUCAAGAGCCGUGUCAAGUGGAGAAGUACAGGAAAAAAGAAAGAUUGAGAUUGAUACUAUGGAUUUGUUGAAGCUUAUUAUAUUUGCUCUUUUAGUUGGUAUUUUUCUUGGAUUUGUAUUUGGUAUUUUUAUUGGAUUUGUGCUAAGUAGGGUAUGAGAAUGUAUUAUUGGAUUUGUUAUCAGUUAGUACUAAAUGCGUACAAUGAGAUAUCAAUUUGAUUCAACUUUGGAGAA